rnacentral:tRNA from 1 species
CAGGGAGACAACAAAAUGUUAAAUAUUAAUUUUGUCACCUUAGGUCGAUCGGUACCUCAGAUUCUUAACUAUAGUUAUGAAUUUCAAUUCCUAAGUUUUUUCUAGGUCACACCCAUUACUUUUCCUGGGCCAUUAGCUCAGGUGGUUAGAGCGCACCCCUGAUAAGGGUGAGGUCCCUGGUUCAAGUCCAGGAUGGCCCAUAUCUCUAUGUUGGGGGUAUAGCUCAGUUGGUAGAGCGCCUGCUUUGCAAGCAGGAUGUCAGCGGUUCGAGUCCGCUUACCUCCACUGAUUACCACCUCUACCAUAUUUCUAAGGAAUUGUUCUGAGAUUUACCUUUGUUCUGAGCGAAUCUAGCUUCCUAAUUAUUAAAAUUAAGAUGCUGGACUCAUUGAAUUUUAUUCAUUGUUUUCAGAGAACCUUGACAACUGCAUAGAUUAUUUUUAAAGACAAUAAGCAUCUUUAAUGAUGCAGAUUUAUUAUUUGUGCUAAUGCAUUAAAUAACAAUUCUAUUGAGCUGAUGCUUCAAUUUUUUGAAGUUAUU